UCGUCAGAGAUGGACUUCACGCUGAUCACUUGUCUUCUAAGAUGCUUGAAGUGUUUUUGGAUUGAAUAAGAAAUUUGACUGGAACACAAAACCUAUUGCAACCGAUUUAACAGUUGAGGCAGACAUAUAUCGGUUUAAAAGCCUAUCGAAAUGAAAUAUGUCAUGUACCUACGACAACUGUUAUACAACCCAAUGCCUUUGUCAAUUGGUGGAAUGACAUUGAGCAGAUACUUGUUCGACGAAGUUCUCCAGCUCUGAACAUUCAUCAAGCGAUAGCCGAUUUUGAAGGUUGUCCUCUAGAUCCAGAGGAAGAGAAAAGGAUACAAGAAGAAAUAAAAAGGUGGAAGGACUAUGAAGCCGAUGUUGAUCGAUUGAAUGAGGAAAUGAAAAAAGUGCAAACAGAUGUUAUAGAAGUGAAGAAAGAAGUAGAAGCAGAGUUUACUGGAAUGAAGAAAGAAAUCGAGGCGAUAAAAGAACGACAAGAUGCAGAUGCCACUGCAAAACAGACGGAAGAGGAAAAGUAUCAAACUCACAAGAAGGGUAAGUAAUUAUUACUACAUUUCUUUAUCGAUUGAGCCAAGGGUACGUAAAAAUGAUAUACUUUUACAUGAAAGACAGAACAGCAAGUGAAUAUUGGUGUACG